AUUGAACGCUGGCGGCAUGCUUUACACAUGCAAGUCGAGCGGCAGCGCGGGGGCAACCCUGGCGGCGAGCGGCGGACGGGUGAGUAAUGCAUCGGAACGUAUCCCGUAGUGGGGGACAACCCAGCGAAAGCUGGGCUAAUACCGCAUAUGCUCUACGGAGGAAAGCAGGGGGACUCGCAAGAGCCUUGUGCUAUGGGAGCGGCCGAUGUCCGAUUAGCUAGUUGGUGGGUAAAGGCUUACCAAGGCGACGAUCGGUAGCUGGUCUGAGAGGAUGGAUCAGCCACACUGGGACUGAGACACGGCCCAGACUCCUACGGGAGGCAGCAGUGGGAAUUUUGGACAAUGGGGCAACCCUGAUCCAGCCAUGCCGCGUGCGGGAAGAAGGCC
rnacentral:rRNA from 1 species